ACGCACGCUGGCGGCGUGCCUAAUACAUGCAAGUAGAACGCUGAAGCUUGGUGCUUGCACCGAGCGGAUGAGUUGCGAACGGGUGAGUAACGCGUAGGUAACCUGCCUGGUAGCGGGGGAUAACUAUUGGAAACGAUAGCUAAUACCGCAUAACAGUAGAUAUCGCAUGAUAGCUACUUGAAAGGUGCAAAUGCACCACUACCAGAUGGACCUGCGUUGUAUUAGCUAGUUGGUGAGGUAACGGCUCACCAAGGCAACGAUACAUAGCCGACCUGAGAGGGUGAUCGGCCACACUGGGACUGAGACACGGCCCAGACUCCUACGGGAGGCAGCAGUAGGGAAUCUUCGGCAAUGGACGGAAGUCUGACCGAGCAACGCCGCGUGAGUGAAGAAGGUUUUCGGAUCGUAAAGCUCUGUUGUAAGAGAAGAACGAGUGUGAGAGUGGAAAGUUCACACUGUGACGGUAUCUUACCAGAAAGGGACGGCUAACUACGUG
rnacentral:rRNA from 1 species